GGCCAGGGAUCGAACCUGCAUUCUCAUGGAUACUAGUCGAGUUUAUUACCACUGAGCCAUAACAGGAACUCCAAGGUUUUUUUUUAACAACCUAUUGUGCCGAUGUCUAUGAGAUCGGACAUCCCCUUUUAUAGAUGGGCCCUGGGUUUGAGCAGCAUUUGUUUGCCUUCUGCCAACUGGCUCUUGCUCAGUUUUGGUUAUACAGUUACCCCUUGGAAUCUGCAAAGAAUUGGUUCCAGGACCCCUUUGGGUACCAAAGUCCAUGGAUGCACGUUUCCUUACAGUCAGCCUCCCUUAUCUGUGGGAAUCCAUGUGCAUCCAUGGGAAAAUGUGUGCAUUCAUGGGAAGGGAGGGUUGACUGUCUAAGAGAAACACAGAUCCUUUUUUAUUAGUGGUUUUCUUACUUUGUUACUUAAUAUAGCAAAGUCAAAAAUUACUUACUUAUCUCCUCCUAAAUCUUAGUUUGCCUUAAUUGCCUUCAUUCUGCUUCCAUCUUACUUAACUUUACUGAGCUUCAGGUCCCUUGUUAAUAAAACCUAAAUUCCAAGGGGUUUGCUUGUUAAUUCUAGUAUCCUCAGUGCCUGGUUUAGUAUCUGACACUUCGUAGGUGCUAAGUAAAUGCUAAUUGACUAUAUGAAUGAAUAAGGUAAUAGCACCUACUUUGCAGAGGUUGUGAGGUUUAGAUAAAAUACAUGUCAAGUGCCUAAUACCAGGGUUAGGGCACCAACCAACAGCAGAUAUUCUCACCAAAAAAAAAGACAAAAAAAAAAAAAAAAAAAAAAAAAGAUUGCCUAAGCCAAGAUGCUUAUGGCUUUCUACUUUUUCCAUGCUAAGAAAGAGCAUAAAUCAUUGUUUGGGGUUCUGGUGGAUUAGUAGGGUUAAACUGUCACACAGUGCACAUUUUCUAUGGAAUCCCACUCUACUUAGGGUGUAUGUGGAUUGCCAAGUACUACACUCUCCAGUAGGGUAGCCACUGGCCACAUGUGCCUAUUUAAAUUUAAAUUAAUUAAAAUUAAAAUUUCAUUUAGACAUUCACUAAACUUUGCUCAGUGACUUCAGGUGACUGGGUGGCUGGCAUUUUGGAUAGUGCUUAUCUAAAACAUUUCCAUCAUUGCAUGAAGGUCUGUUGGGUAGAGCUGGCCUAGAGUCCGUGGUGGCUGUAAGUAAUGCGGUAGAGUGUGGGGCAGGACCAUAAAUUAGGAGGCUGAAACAUAACCAUGACACGACAAGCUCCUGAACUUGAGAAAAUGGAGAAGGGAGGACAAGCUCUUAGGACAUUUUGGAGAAAGAAUGGACAGAAUCUUGUGGCAGAGCAAGGUGGGCACUUAGUGCAAGGACUCUGGAGCUUGGCAGGGUUGAGAUCCUAGCUCCAUUGCUCUCCAGCCGUGGUGACUAGCCACUUAAGGUCUUCAAGCCUAGUUUCUGUGUAUAAAAUGGGAUUAAUAGUAUCUACCACAAGGUGAUUGAGAGCAUUAAAUUAGGAUGAAUGGAUUAAGUAGAAAGGCUUAGCACAGGGAGAGUCAUAAGUAGAGCAAAAUAGUCGAUAAUCAUACUGUUUUAGGGUUCUAGGUUGGGGGCCAGGGGAAGUGGUGUUGAUGGACAGAAGCACCUCUCUCUGCAUAUUUCCUUUUAGGACCUCCCCACCCCCCCACCCCGCAACCUGGAGGCCUCAGUGCUGCAGAUCUCUGUAUGGUCUCCCUGGCAAGGUCCCAAACUCUGGACUGUUUCCCUGUCAGUAUCAAACAUCCCUGUCUUGUGUUCCAUUCCCAAAUCCGCAAGAUGGCAAAACAAGGGAGUCAAAUUUUAGGUUGAAAAAGACCAAAAUGGUUAUGUAUCUCCCCCUCCCCUCGAUCUGAUAUUUGAAGCUAUUCUACAGCAAGAUUAUCUAUCAUCAUUAAAAUAAUCACAUCCAUAUUGGAAGGUCUUCUGUUUGACUUAUUACAUGAAAAUAUAUUGUCCAUUUCCCAGAGGAGGACAUUGGGGUUCAGAGAGUCUCUUGUUAUCCCUUCAAAGAAUAAGACAUCAAAGAUUUCUUCAGCUUGGUCAUUCCUCUGUUGCUUUUUUUUUUUUUUCUGUUGCCUGUCUGGUUUCCUGGGGUUAGUCAGAUGUCAGCAUGCUUCACAGGAAGCGUGGCAAGAAGGAGAGCUUUGCCCAUGAGGUGCCUGGCUGAAGGUGGAGGCAGAGAGCAGGGCAGCCCACCUUCUGGGGUCUGUAGGAAAGAGGAAAAGAGAGCAGAGAGUGGGAUGUGGCUAUGGGACUGAGUAUAUUGACCAGCAUCUUGGACCUAAAGGAGGAAGCCAAUCUUCCCAGUCUAGACAGCGGAAGCAGUGUGUAUUCUGGUUGAACAUUUGAUUAAAUUUACUGCAUUGAAGAAAUCUUGCCAGCAGGUGGCAACAUGAAACCAAUAACUCAGGAUCCAAAUGCAAGCUUUCCUGAGAAGUGCUGCUGUGUCCUUGGCAGAGUGGGUGUCUAGCUUCCUCUUGUGAUUUCUGGGAUGCUGGAUUCUCCACCUCUGCUACCUGGGGGCUCACCUUGGUUUCCUUAAGGCCCUCAGGACAAGUCUCCAUGUCUUAGCCCUGCCCUGACCCUCCUGGUCUGGUGAGUGAGUCCCUGUUUUUCUUUUGUCCUCCCUUGCUCCCUGCCUCUGGACUUAAUGCUCCUCACCCGCCUUGUUCUUCCACAUUCCAGGCUUUUUUUUUUCCUGCUGGUCACUCUGUCCUGAAAACCAUUCUCCCCUCCCCCAUCUGCUUAAUUCAACCUUGUCAUCCUUGGGGACUCAGUGCAAAGCUUGCUCACAGGAGGCACAUUCUACUCCAUCCUCCCCCCAACCUGCCCCAGCCUGGUGGGGUCCCUUCACCAUGCAUCUGCCUGUUAUAGCACUGGUGGCCCCAGGUCUGACUCUUCUGUUUGUCUGCCUUCCUCCUUGAUGGUCCCCUUGACGGUUGGCACCAUGUCCUAUCCAUUUUGGGUUAUUCUUAGUGCCAGGCAUGGAGGAGGUGCAUUAAAAAAAAGUUGAUAAGCAAAUGAACAAAUGGGUGUUUAUAAAGUGGGCCAGUGAUCUGGCUGGGGUAAUUCCGCUGGGGCCCUUGUGGAGCCCCAAAAGACUGAGUCUCUCAUAGUCAUAGACAGCCAUCACCCGGGAGGCCGGCUCUCCCUGGCCAGCAGGGUAGGGUAUUUGUGUUUUCCGCGUGGGGCAUUUCUUGCUUCAUCUCAACAGCCUCAUUGAUUCUCCUUAAAUACCUCCAAGGAAGAAUGCAUUCUCUCAAGAUUCAAAACAAAACAAAACAAAACAAAAAAACGGGUAAUUUAAAUAAGUAGAAGGAAAAUGCAUUUUAAUUGUAUUAUUAUACUAAUUCAUGUCUCCUGCCCCCCUUGAAAAGGUGCUUUUUCACAGUGUGGAAGCCCAUUAGGGACAAGAGUUGAAACUAAUUGUUUCAGAUGGCUGCUGAGAGAUGCUGGGUCUUGUUUUUAUAGCUCUCAAAGCAGGUGGGUAAACAGCCCCCUUGUGGCUGGCUCUACAAGGCCAGAUCGGUUUCAGGACUUGGGGACCAUAGC
rnacentral:lncRNA from 1 species